rnacentral:rRNA from 1 species
AGUGAACGCUGGCGGUAGGCCUAACACAUGCAAGUCGAACGGCAGCACAGGAGAGCUUGCUCUCUGGGUGGCGAGUGGCGGACGGGUGAGGAAUACAUCGGAAUCUACUUUUUCGUGGGGGAAAACGUAGGGAAACUUACGCUAAUACCGCAUACGACCUACGAGUGAAAGCAGGGGACCUUCGGGCCUUGCGCGAUUGAAUGAGCCGAUGUCGGAUUAGCUAGUUGGCGGGGUAAAGGCCCACCAAGGCGACGAUCAGUAGCUGGUCUGAGAGGAUGAUCAGCCACACUGGAACUGAGACACGGUCCAGACUCCUACGGGAGGCAGCAGUGGGGAAUAUUGGACAAUGGGCGCAAGCCUGAUCCAGCCAUACCGCGUGGGUGAAGAAGGCCUUCGGGUUGUAAAGCCCUUUUGUUGGGAAAGAAAUCCAGCUGGCUAAUACCCGGUUGGGAUGACGGUACCCAAAGAAUAAGCACCGGCUAACUUCGUGCCAGCCGCCGCAGUAA